CUACCAUGCAGUCGAGCGCGCCCUUUGGGGUGAGCGGCGGACGGGUGAGUAACGCGUGGGAACGUGCCCUUCUCUACGGAAUAGUCCUGGGAAACUGGGGGUAAUACCGUAUACGCCCUUAGGGGGAAAGAUUUAUCGGAGAAGGAUCGGCCCGCGUUGGAUUAGGUAGUUGGUGGGGUAAUGGCUCACCAAGCCGACGAUCCAUAGCUGGUUUGAGAGGAUGAUCAGCCACACUGGGACUGAGACACGGCCCAGACUCCUACGGGAGGCAGCAGUGGGGAAUCUUAGACAAUGGGGGCAACCCUGAUCUAGCCAUGCCGCGUGAGUGAUGAAGGCCUUAGGGUUGUAAAGCUCUUUCAGCUGGGAAGAUAAUGACGGUACCAGCAGAAGAAGCCCCGGCUAACUCCGUGCCAGCAGC
rnacentral:rRNA from 1 species